UUUGUGAUAAAUUCACCUUGGACCAAAUUAUAUUGUUUUAUUAGCCUCAUUAAUGCAAGUGGUGGUUCAAAAAUGUGUUUGCAAUUCUAAAAUAAAUACAAUUUCGAUUUUAAACAUUCCAAUAUGGUUAGCAAAGUUAGUUCAGGAAACAAGUUUUCUUUGUGGAAAAAGUGGAGUAAAUCCUGAAAAAUCGGAGCGUUGGAGUAGAUUAUUUUUUUCCCUCAAAAGUGGAGCAAAUUUGCUCCGAUCGGAGCAAGGUUUUAACCCUGACGCACAUAUUUCAGAAUAGUAAUAUAGUUUUUAUCGUAUCUAGAGUAGGUAAUUAGGAGGUUAUUGGUACCAAAAUGCAAAAAAAGCAUAUUAAUUUAGGGCCAAUUUUUCAAUAGUCAGUUAAACAGUCAUUUAGUACUUAUUCCCCAGAUAGAGAAAAAAACAGUUUUUCAACAGUUAGAUAUAGCUUAUUUCUAGGAAUAAAACAUUUAUUAGAGGAAUAAAACCAUUGAAUAAUUACAAAUAGAAGUGCACACCCAGGGAAACUUCCGCUGUAAAAUUCUCGGCUCUAGUAUCGUGCGUUGAAUUAAAAAAGCAAAUCCAACAAUCCAAAAGCAAAGCCAACAAUCCAAAAGCAAAUCCAGCAACCCAAAAUCAAAUACUAAACCGCUUAUUCAUAUUGAUAAAAGUUUACCCAUUCCAAAAAGUGGAGAUAGCCUAGAGGAUAAGGUGAAUGUCUGGUUAAGACUCAACUCGAAAAUACAUGAUAGUUGAGGCGCAAACAUGCAGUUCAUCUAUCUUCCGAGACGCAUAAAAAUUAUUCUAAGGAAUAAUCUCAACAAAAAUAGUGUGUCAAUUGUCAAAGCUGUUUUGAAGAAAAUAUUGAUAAGACGGAUUUCUUUGAGAUUAUAAAUUAUAAAGAUGUUUUUUCACAAAUUUAAAGACGGCGUUUAAAAAAUACAAGGGAACACAAGAAAACAAAAACUAUUAUGAAUAAAAAUGACUUAAAUUUGAAUAUUUUUGAAUUUUACAUUUUUUUUUGUUAUUCUGUAGAAGAGAGUUGAACACGAAGUCGUCCUUAGCUUUUUACAAAGUAAAAAAAGUUUGUUAUUGACAACUGGAAAAGUCAAAAUGCGACACUAGUGGGAAAAAUAAGCAUCUACAUAUACACAUCAAAAAUCAGAAGGCAUAAGAAUACAUGUGUUUACAUUCAGCAUUCAAGUUUUCCGCCAAAAAUCACAAUCAGAGAAAAGGAGACACAAAAAAGACCCAUUAGGGGCCAGUUGUACAAAUAUUUAAUCCGUGGAUCAGCAACUUUUAUCUUUUGAAAUCGGUAGAAAGGCUGAAGUUUACAACUGGUUCAAGGUUCAUAUAUGUAGUGAUAGCCACAUUCAUGCUUGAACCGAAGUUGACCCGCAGCUAAUCCGCCGAAAUCUAUUAAAUCUAUCUAUCUAUUAAAAAGGAGUAUCAUGGCAGAAAAAAGGCAGAACAAAUUUUAAACAAUUUUUUUUAUUAACCUCAAUAGUUUCAAAAAUUUAACACGGAUUUAGCAAUUUAACGCAAUUCACAGACGGCCUAAGUAAAAAAAAAAGUACUUAAAAAAUUCACUUUUUUUUAUAAAAAUCGCAGAAAAACUAGUGUUGCAAGUUGCAACUGAUGGUGUCGCGAAUUAGGUUGACCAAUUUAUAGAGAGAUUUCACUAAAAAUCUACCUCUUAUGGGACAUAAGUUCAAUCCUGGGGUGCAAAAUUGAGAAAUUUGAUUUAUGACCACAUUUUAGGUCAAAAUAAACAAUUUAUAAACAAGACCUCAAGCCCACUUAGGAUUGAAUUUAAGUAUUAUUCACGUUAGUAUUUAACGAAUUGAAUUAGCCUUGGUUUUUUAACAUGCUGAUUGUCAUUCCAAAAAAAAUGUAAGUAUGUUUAAUUAGGUAAACAGAAAUCAACUAAGCUAAAAUCGAAUUUCUUCAUCAUUUUCGCUCUCUUCAAGAAAUAAUUCUAUCGACGACAUUAUUCACUGACACUUGAAAAUGAACUUUUUUUAUUGCAAUACAAUUUUUUUUUACAAAAUCUAUUUUAUUUGUAUGAAAAUGUCCAACAACGACGUGCUUAAGUGCAAAAAAUAUGAGACAAAUCUAUCGGGAAUAAAUAUUGUAAUUGAUGGAAAAUUUACAUAUAACGGGGCUGCCAAGAUGUUCGACCCAUUUUAGGCAUGAGAAACGCGAACCUAUAAAUAGGGCUGCCAAGCCUUCGGCACCUGAAGUGUCCGGCUUAGACCCCUCCGGUCUAAAAUCCGAUAGGCAAUUCUGGUGCAUUAUAUUUUCCUAGAGCAGCUCUAUUGUUUAAGAAGUAGUAGAGCAAUUGAGGGGAUGAGCUAAGUAAUCCGAUGGUCGCCUCUUGGACUAUUAGUUUUUAUAAAACCAAUUAAAAAGUUCAAAUGAAUUACACUUAGGAGCAAAAAAAUGGAAUCAAACUUUUCGUUCUGUAAAAACGAUAAUUGGUCAGGAUUUAAUUAACAUACAUGAAUGUUAAUUGUACCAUUGAAAAGCUUUAAAUCAAUGCUAGGAACUUAAAAACCCGUGCACUUUAUAUAGAUCCAAUCAACAUAAAUGAAGUAUGUAAGGAAAAAAAGACUGAAAUUGAAGCAGAGAGUAUCAAGAAAAUUUAACAUUUAAAUAAAAUUGAAGUACAAUUUAUUGACAGAUAGCGAUGAUACUGUCGUAUGCAUUUUUAUGUUUUUACCAACAACUCAAAGUAAAAAAUUCAAGGUUUUUAAAUGAGACCAUGAGACUUGAAGAAACAUAAUUUUAUCCAUUGCAAUUUUUGUUUUUGAUAUAAAUAACACAGUGAUAGUUUUUAGAACUUUUUUUUUGCAACAGAGCGGAGACACAUUCUAGUUAAUUCGAGUGUGCUGAAUUCAGUGGUGGCAACCAUUUUAAAAACUUGGCUCAGGUUUUCGAGAUAUUUCGAAAAUAAAAUCUUAGGUCGGGACUAUUAAAAUACUGAUAAUUUCGAAUAGCUAAGUUUUUUUAAGCAGUUUUUAGUUUAGAGAGAAGCUAUUCCUGUAUAUAGCUAUAUGUUUAACACUAUUCUAACCUAGAUUGUUAUGUUUCGGUCGCUUACAGAGCAUUUUUUAAACAAAAACUUCAAUUUUUUCAUGUUUUUUUUUUUAUUUUUUGACUUUCAAAGCCUUUAAUAUGGAUGCAAUUUGAGUUUAACAUUGA